ACUGUGGAAGAUUCUUUUUCUGGUGAUCUCUUCUUGGUGAAGAAUUCCCUUAUGAGCUGAGAAUCUUCUGAUAUGGAUUUUGCAAUUAUAAGGCCUAAUUCUACAGCCUUGAUGUGUGCACAACUUAUGUAAGGCCCUGGGAGCUUUCCGUCUCAAGAGCUGAAGCUAAUGCCAAAUUCUGGUAAAGAAGCUGAUUCAUAGCGUCUGGAGCAACUUUGGCUUGCAAUUUCAUAAUCACAGUUGUCUACCUAGAUAAGCAGAGAGAAUAAUAUGACUUCAAACUCUCUGGACUCCCCACUUUGCAAGGAUCUCGAAGUACUCGAUAGCUGGUGGAGAAGAAGGAUGUAACAUGAGAAAGCAAUGCACAAAAAUAUGAAAGCCCAAGUCUGUGCACCACCCACUUACUGAAAAAUAAGGAUAAGCUGUGCUCAUCUUCCCCCCCACCAAAACAGGGAAGCCAUCCCUUGGCACACCUUCUGCAGGGGCUGCAUUGAGCUUUGGGCUGUUGACAGGGUCAGCUGUCCAUUGUGCAGCCAGCGCAUCAGCAUGCUUGUGAGCCUUAUGUGGCACUCCCCAGGUCAUGUCUUAACUCACCACUCCUGGGGAAGGAUCCAGCAGGCUACGGAGUGACAGGAAAGAAGAUCCCCAACCAAGUCCCAGAGUGUCUUGUGCCAACACAAACAGCGCAGUCCCUCCAGGCCCCCCCUGCCAGCUUGUCUGUAGCCUCUGCUGGGAGUGGGAGCACAACGGACGCAGGCAGUUCCAACUGCUGUGGGAUACCAAGGACACUGGAUGGCUGACAUGAGUCCAAGAAGAGCAGUGGAGCUCCAGAGACCACAUGCAUUGCCAUGCUGGACUCCACUU
ensembl:lncRNA